CACAGUCUCCCCACACGGACUAAAAUGGCAUUUAUGCAUUUAGUAUAUAUAAAUACUUUAGUUUGUAUAUAUUAAGUAUUUAUAUAUACUAAAUGCAUUUUUAGUCUGUGAGGGGAGACUUUU